GACGAACCGAGCGAACGUUGUUCGGAAUCACUGGGCUUAAAGGGUGCGUAGGCGGGUCUUUAAGUCAGGGGUGAAAUCCUGGAGCUCAACUCCAGAACUGCCUUUGAUACUGAAGAUCUUGAGUUCGGAAGAGGAGAGUGGAAUUCCUGGUGUAGCGGUGAAAUGCGCAGAUAUCAGGAAGAACACCAAUGGCGAAGGCAGCUCUCUGGGACGGUACUGACGCUGAGACGCGAAAGCGUGGGGAGCGAACAGG
rnacentral:rRNA from 1 species